AUAUUCCACAUUGGGCGCAAGCCUGAUGCAGCCAUGCUGCUUGUAUGAAGAAGGCCAUCGGGGUGUAAAGUAUCUCCAGCGGGGAGGAAGGGUUCAAAGUUAAUACUUUUACUCGUUGACGUUACCCGCAGAAGAAGUACCGGCUAACGCCGUUCCAGCAGCCGCGGUAAUACGGAGGGUGCAAGCGUUAAUCGGAAUUACUGGGCGUAAAGCGCACGCAGGCGGUUUGUUAAGUCAGAUGUGAAAUCCCCGGGCUCAACCUGGGAACUGCAUCUGAUACUGGCAAGCUUGAGUCUCGUAGAGGGGGGUAGAAUUCCAGGUGUAGCGGUGAAAUGCGUAGAGAUCUGGAGGAAUACCGGUGGCGAAGGCGGCCCCCUGGACGAAGACUGACGCUCAGGUGCGAAAGCGUGGGGAGCAAA
rnacentral:rRNA from 1 species